rnacentral:lncRNA from 1 species
AAAAAAAAAAAAAAAAAAAAAAAAAACAACCCCAUAUGAAAAAAGUCAAAUCUUUUUCACUCCCACCAUCCAACAACGAAGAAAAAGCAAACACAAAUUAACCAUCAAACAAAUACAGAAAUAAAAUCCACGUAGAUAAACUUACAAGAAACAAAUUAAAAAGACUGCUAAAAAUUAAGCCUUCGACCAUGAGCAUAUACUUAAAUUGAGACUCACUUUCAAGAUUCAUAUACUCAAUUGAUUAAUUCAUGAAUGAGGCCCAAAAUCAACAUCCACAAGAGUUAAAAUAAAAAUAUGUUUUUCGAUUUUUAGAUUUGGAGAAACCCUAAAGGAUUAGCACGCCGUCGCUGGUGCGGCCGAUGAUAGAUGAUCGGUCGAUUGCUCAUACUUAUUUCCGGAAGAACAGAAGUGUCGGAGCCUGGAGGAGAAUGUUUAAGGACACAUAUCUUAAUUUGUGAGUGU